rnacentral:rRNA from 1 species
AUAUGUUUAACGGCCGCGGUAUUUUGACCGUGCGAAGGUAGCGUAAUCACUUGUCUUUUAAAUGGAGACCUGUAUGAAUGGCAUAACGAGGGCUUAACUGUCUCCUCUUUCCAGUCAAUGAAAUUGAUCUCCCCGUGCAGAAGCGGGGAUAAAUACAUAAGACGAGAAGACCCUAUGGAGCUUUAGACUACCAAGACAGAUCAUGUUAAACACCCCUUAACAAAGGCCCGAACUUAAUGACCCCCUGUCCUAAUGUCUUCGGUUGGGGCGACCAUGGGGCAGCACAAAACCCCCAUGCGGACUGGGAGAACAAACCCAAAACCCUUUUUCCCACACUCCCACAAGCAAGAGUUACAACUCUAACUAGCAGAACCUCUGACCUCUUACGAUCCGGCUUCCGCCGAUCAACGGACCAAGUUACCCUAGGGAUAACAGCGCAAUCCCCUUUUAGAGCCCAUAUCGACAAGGGGGUUUACGACCUCGAUGUUGGAUCAGGACAUCCUAAUGGUGCAGCCGCUAUUAAGGGUUCGUUUGUUCAACGAUUAAAGUCCUACGUGAUCUGAGUUCAGACCGGAGGUCAUGGUGGUUUCCUGAGUCCUACGUGAU